rnacentral:rRNA from 1 species
UACAGGGGGUGCAAACGUUGCUCGGAAUCAUUGGGCGUAAAGCGCACGCAGGCGGUUCGUUAUGUCGGAUGUGAAAGCCCUUGGCUUAACCGAGGAAGUGCAUCCGAAACUGGCGAGCUAGAGUACUAAAGAGGAUCGCGGAAUUCCCGGUGUAGAGGUGAAAUUCGUAGAUAUCGGGAGGAACACCGGUGGCGAAGGCGGCGAUCUGGGUAGAUACUGACGCUGAGGUGCGAAAGCGUGGGGAGCAAACAGG